rnacentral:rRNA from 1 species
GACGAACGCUGGCGGCGUGCUUAACACAUGCAAGUCGAACGGAAAGGCUCCAGCUUGCUGGAGUACUCGAGUGGCGAACGGGCGAGUAACACGUGGGUAAUCUGCCCUGCACUCUGGGAUAAGCCUGGGAAACUGGGUCUAAUACUGGAUAUGACCUUUCUCCUUAUGGGGUUUGGUGGAAAGUUUUUCGGUGUAGGAUGAGCCCGCGGCCUAUCAGCUUGUUGGUGGGGUGAUGGCCUACCAAGGCGACGACGGGUAGCCGGCCUGAGAGGGUGAUCGGCCACAUUGGGACUGAGAUACGGCCCAGACUCCUACGGGAGGCAGCAGUGGGGAAUAUUGCACAAUGGGCGGAAGCCUGAUGCAGCGACGCCGCGUGAGGGAUGACGGCCUUCGGGUUGUAAACCUCUUUCAGCAGGGACGAAGCGUAAGUGACGGUACCUGCAGAAGAAGCACCGGCUAACUAUGUG